rnacentral:rRNA from 1 species
AGAGUUUGAUCAUGGCUCAGGACGAACGCUGGCGGCGUGCUUAACACAUGCAAGUCGAACGGAAAGGCCCUUCGGGGUACUCGAGUGGCGAACGGGUGAGUAACACGUGGGUGAUCUGCCCUGCACUCUGGGAUAAGCCUGGGAAACUGGGUCUAAUACCGAAUAGGACCACGCGCUUCAUGGUGUGUGGUGGAAAGCUUUUGCGGUGUGGGAUGGGCCCGCGGCCUAUCAGCUUGUUGGUGGGGUAAUGGCCUACCAAGGCGACGACGGGUAGCCGGCCUGAGAGGGUGACCGGCCACACUGGGACUGAGAUACGGCCCAGACUCCUACGGGAGGCAGCAGUGGGGAAUAUUGCACAAUGGGCGCAAGCCUGAUGCAGCGACGCCGCGUGAGGGAUGACGGCCUUCGGGUUGUAAACCUCUUUCAAUAGGGACGAAGCGCAAGUGACGGUACCUAUAGAAGAAGCACCGGCCAACUACGUGCCAGCAGCCGCGGUAAUACGUAGGGUGCGAGCGUUGUCCGGAAUUACUGGGCGUAAAGAGCUCGUAGGUGGUUUGUCGCGUUGUUCGUGAAAACUCACAGCUUAACUGUGGGCGUGCGGGCGAUACGGGCAGACUAGAGUACUGCAGGGGAGACUGGAAUUCCUGGUGUAGCGGUGGAAUGCGCAGAUAUCAGGAGGAACACCGGUGGCGAAGGCGGGUCUCUGGGCAGUAACUGACGCUGAGGAGCGAAAGCGUGGGGAGCGAACAGGAUUAGAUACCCUGGUAGUCCAA